GACGAACGCUGUCGGCGUGCUUAACACAUGCAAGUCGAACGAAGUGGCGAACGGGUGAGUAACGCGUAAUCAACCUGCCCUUCAGAGGGUGACAACAGUAGGAAACGACUGCUAAUACCGCAUACUGAAGGAGGGGUUUGCGUUGGAUGAGCUAGUUGGAUGGGUAACGGCCCACCAAGGCGAUGAUCAGUAGCCGGUCUGAGAGGAGGAACGGCCACAGUGGGACUGAGACACGGCCCAGACUCCUACGGGAGGCAGCAGUGGGGAAUAUUGCACAAUGGGCACAAGCCUGAUGCAGCCAUGCCGCGGGUAUGAAGAAGGCCCUAGGGUUGUAAAGUACUUUCAGUCGGGAGCGUGACCGACAGAAGAAGCACCGGCUAACUCCGUGCCAGCAGCCGCGGUAAUAC
rnacentral:rRNA from 1 species